rnacentral:RNase_P_RNA from 2 species
ACAGCUCAAAAGCCGCAUUUGCUCGUCACGCACUCGCCGAUUCUCUCGGCUUCUCGCGAGCGGGCUAAGGUCUGAGCGUUCUAGUCCCCUUGUAAUUGUGUCUAGCUGGCACCGGCCAUAACAAGCCGAGCAGAGCAUCAGACAUGCGCUCGCUGUUGUUCGUAUCGCCCAGAGACCCGCAAGGAGAGGGUAUAGCAGCAGCUCGAGCUUGGAACAACUCUGCGGGGACCGAGCCGUUUGAUUGCCUUGUCCUAUUUUAACCUCUUUCACACCCAACGCGCUAGUGUCGAGAGCUAGUGCCCGAUUCCUGCCUUUAGAGGAGUUGAGAAAUGGGGCCAUACUAAAUGCCGCUGCAGGGUAUGGCUCUGGAUCGCUUUCCACGCCGAUUGGACCAAGGAAGAAUAACAAGGCCAUCGACAGCGUCGUAACCUUGGCUGUUCUUGUACUCCUGUUCUCCGCAUCGCCCGCUGGCACCGCGGAGGUAAGCAGGCCACGCUUGGUGGUCCGGUUGGUUGCGGUGAUUGAGGAGGUUGGGUCGAGGCCAAACGGCUCUUUAGUUCACUUUGCGGCUCGCAUAUGUUUUCAUUGCGAAACUCGAUUCAGACUACUCUUGGGCUGU